UACGUAGGGUGCGAGCGUUGUCCGGAAUUAUUGGGCGUAAAGGGCUCGUAGGCGGUUUGUCGCGUCGGGAGUGAAAAUCCAGGGCUUAACUCUGGACUGGCUUCCGAUACGGGCAGACUAGAGGUAUGCAGGGGAGAACGGAAUUCCUGGUGUAGCGGUGAAAUGCGCAGAUAUCAGGAGGAACACCGGUGGCGAAGGCGGGUCUCUGGGCCGAUAUUGACGCUGAGGAGCGAAAGCGUGGGGAGCAAACAGG
rnacentral:rRNA from 1 species